rnacentral:lncRNA from 1 species
ACAACCUUCCUCCAUGAAAAGACUCUCCUCACUCUCACCUCCACUCUCUCUUCACUCACCUCUCACACACAUAGAGACAGGAAUAACGAGAGAAAAACAUAGGUUAAAAAUGGACAAAAAGAAAGAUAGAGAGAGAGGACGAAACACCUAGAGAGAGGGACUUUCUUCUUCUUCUUGGCCAAGAGCAACGUCUCUGCUGCUGGUCUUCUUCUUUCUCAGAAAAAAUUGCAGCACCAUAAACUCACAUCUGUUCAACACCAAAAAUCAUCCCCAAAUUUCAGCCUAAAACACCUCUGAAAUACCCCAAAAACUAGCUGAAAACCAGAUCUAAAACACCUCAAAAUCUGCCCCAAAACCCACCUCCAUCAACACCAAUAUUCAGCUCCAAAGCUGCUGCAAAAAUGCAGCAACUCUCCUCCCCAAAUCAGCCAUGAAAUUCACCUCCAAAACACCUUUAAACUAGCUCCAAAAUAGCAAUAUUUCACAGCCGAAUCCAGCUGGAAAAUACAGCAAUAAGCACCAUUAAAACCAUCAUAAUUCUUUCCCAAGGCAGCGUGUAAUUGGGAUUGAACCAGAUUAGAUUUGACAUCGAGGUUCCGGCGUGGCUUUCAGUUGGUGGGACCGUUCGCUCUCAGCUUCGUCAGAGGCUCCUCUUUGCAUAUUGGUUGGAAGCUCUUUCAAACAUUGAAAGUUAAUCAAAAGGUCCAUUUUUAAUCUAUUUUUUUCCAAUAUAAUAGUAGAUCUGUUGUGACUUUUGUUAUAUGCUAUGCCUAUUCCUAUGGUCGGGUAAAUGUUUUCCUGUUUGAAUUUGCUUAUAGAUUUGAUGUAUAGAGUUAUAACUUGAAUUAAUUAUGUGACUAUUAAGUAAUUUGUUUAGUUUGAUUAAAUUCAAAAUUAAAUAAUGAUGUCCAUGUGAUUAGUUGGGAAUUUGUGGUGGACUGUGAAUAUUUAGAAAUUAGAAUUUUAGAUGUUCUUUGUUUUGUAUAGCACAUAGUAUCAAAUUAAUGUUUUUGCUGUAAAUGUCCGAAGUCUUUUCUCUUUCUUUAUAGAAGUUUUAAUUACGUACAUUUCUUUUGCUUAUUGUUUGAAUAUUUUUAGUUGAAAUCAUGUUGCAACAAGUUUAUUUACUAGUUAAAAUAGAUCUUUGAUAUACUGCACUAGGCUUCAUUAGAUUUUUGAAUGCUUAGAGAAUAAUAUUAUAGUGCUCAACGGAUUUUGGGCCUAAGUUUAGUUUAGGGAUGACGGAUGCUGGAAAUAAUUUUGACGAAAUGAUAAUGAAAUUUGGCCCAAAAGAAUUAUGCUUGGCCCACCUCCUUAAGUAAAAUAAGCAACUUUUGAACAUCCUAGCUUGCUUUAGGCAUGAUUAAUAAAUUAUUACGGCUAUGAGUACGGUUCUCGUGGCAUGGUCGUGAUACAUAAUUCCCAAUUUGAGUGUGCGUUUUACGUGACUCGACCAUAACUUCAAACAAUAACUAAAAUAAAUAUAUUGUAAAUUGCGGGUGCAUUUCAUGUGACGCGAUUCGCAAUAUGUACAAAAUCAAUGAGUGCACGAUAUCGUGACUCGUUCAAAUAAAUUUCAUAAAUCGAAAAAGAGGUUAAAUAAAUAAAAGCGAUUAUAAAAUUAAAAAUGCACAAUAAGUUUAAAACAUGUAAUAAAUCAGAUAAUGAGGCCAAUUAUUAAUAGUUGAGCGAUCGCUCUAAAACCACGAAACUCGAGAAUGCCUAACACCUUCUCUGGGUUAACAGAAUUCCUUAUCCGGUCUUCUGUGUUCGCCGACCAAAAAGUAGAGUCAAUUUUCCUCGAUUUGGGAUUUAAAAUAAACCGGUGACUUGGGACACCAACAAUUAUUCCAAGUAGCGACUUUGAAAUUAAAUAAAUAAUCUCAUUUCGAUUAUGUCACUUAAAUUUGAAAAACUCCCUAUCCCCCCUUGGGAAAGGAUGUGUUACAGGUACAAUCCAAAUAAAGAAUUUAACAGUACAGAAAUGUAGACAUGCUUUCAAGUUUAAUAGUUUAAAUUCAAUACAGAUAAAAUAUUCCAAGUGUGACUGAAAUGAGGAAUGAUACAUCACUAUAUCUACAUGUCAAUUAUGCAUAUCAACUGUAAUGCAACACAAUGAUAAAGUCAUAUGCAUACUCUCGGAGUAUCAAGUCUCUCAGUCCUCACAGUUACUCAGCACUCGCGAUUGGCACUCGCACUCGACACUCGUACUCAGUAGAUACCUGUACUCACUGCUGGUAAGUCAGACUCCGGAGGGGCGGAUUCUCCUAGCGCUAAAAUAAGCCAAUCAUGGCAUGAAUCAAUAAAGCAUGUUGCGGCAUGCAGCCCGAUCCAUAAACAUCACUCACAAUCAGGCCCUCAGCUUCACUCAGUCAUCAAUCUCCCAUGUCUCUCAGGCUCACGAAUAUCAUGACAAUCAGCCCUAACAAUGAUGAUAUUACGUAUUAAUAAAUGGUAACAGAUACUAAGAUAUUAUAUGCAAACGAUAGAUGUGACUUAGUAUAUAAUUGCAAAUUAAGCAAGAAAUUCAAAAUCAACACGACCUCUAUGGAUCCCAACAGUACUAGCGUAUAGCCUAAGCAUGAUUUAUAACAUGAAUCACAGCUCAAUUUCUCUAACACAAAGAGAAUACACGAAUAAUGCUCAGAUUAGAUGACUACACAAUUCCACGGAAUUGACUGAGUCACAAUUUCUAUGGUGCACACGCACACGCCCGUCAUCUAGUAUGUGUGUCAUCUCAACACCAAUCACGUAACACGUAAUUCAGCGAUUCAUACCCCCAGGACCAAGUUUAGAAAUGUUAUUUAUCUCAAACCGUGCAUAUCUCUCCUCGAAUAAGCCCUUGCCUCACGAAUCGGCCUCCGAAUGCCUCAAAUCUAGCCACAAUUGACUCGAUGCAAUUAACACAAGCUAUGGGAAUCAAUUUCAUAUGACAAAGCUAAAUUCUUUAACUAAAGUCAAAAGGUCAACCCCGGGCCUACAUCUCGGAAUCUAACAACAUUAAGAAAAUCCGAACACCCAUUCAACCAAGAGUCCAACCAUAAGAAAAUUACCGAAUUCCGAUCACAACUCGACCUUCAAAUCCUCAAAUUAAAGCCUAUGAAGUUUCUAUAAUUUUCCUUUAAUUUUUCCUACUCAAAACAUUAAUUAAAUGAUAAUAAUAAUAAUAGAUUCAUAUAUACCAAAUCCGAGUUAGAAUCACUUACCCCAAUCAAUUCCUUGAAAAUCCCUCCAAGAAUCGCUUCAAUUCGAGCACCCAAAGUCCAAUUAUGAAAUUUUACUCUAACCCUCGUUUUUGAAAUCUUAUAUUCUGCCUAGAUAUCCUUCUUCACGAACGCAAAAAGUGUCUUACGUUUGCGAAGCAUAAAACUCAACUGCCCAAUACACCUCUUACGCGAACGCGAAGGCUCCCUCGCGAACGCGAUGCUUCACAGAACUCUGCCUAUGCAAACGCAUCCCCCUGACCACGAACGCGAAGACUUAAGGCCUGGUGCCCGGCUCCCUCUCGCAAUCGCGAUACACAACUUCCCCAGACCUUCGCAAAUGCGGUACUCUCUUCGCGAACGCGAUGAACAAUCAUCACCUGCCUCCCAAGUACUCUUCGCAAACGCGAAACCUCUCUCGCGAAUGUGUAUAAGGAAACCGGUAAUAGAGAAAUCAGUAGUUCUUCAAGGUUCAAAAUGCGCGGAACAUGAUCUGAAUCACACCCGAAGCUUCCAAGACCUCAACCAAGCAUACCAAAAAGUCCUAAAACAUCAUACGAACUCGCUCGAAGCGUCAUAUCACAUCAAACAACAUUAAAACUACGAAUCGUGCAUUGAUUCAAGCCUAAUGAACUUAUGAACUUCUAACUUCCAAAAUUAAUGCCAAAACAUAUCAAACCAACUCUGAUUAACCUUAAAUUUUUCACACAAAUCAUAAAUGACACAACUGACCUAUUCCAACUUUCGGAACAAAAAUCCGAGCCAGGUAACUACAAAGUCAACUCUCGGUCAAACUUCUCAACUCUCCAAACUUUUAUUUUUCCAAAAUCAUCUACGGGUCUCCAAAUCAAUAUGUGGACACACUCCUAAGUCUAAAAUCACCAUAUGGAGCUAUCAGAACCAUCGAAACACCAUUCCGAAACCAUUUACACAUAAGUCAACAUCAGGUCAACUCUUUCAACUUAGACUUCCAACCUUGGGACUAAGUGUCCCAAUUCAUUCCGAAGCAUCCCCGGAACCAAAUCAACUACCCCGACAAGUCAUAUAAUAAUAAAUGAGCAUAGAAUAAGCAAUAAAUGGGGGAACAGAGCUGUAAUACUCAAAACGACAAAAUGACUAAGUUAAAAAAAAUAAAUUAUUUAACCUCCUUAUUAUUGGUCAGUUACUUGGCUCCAAACCUAGUGAUGUACAAGUAUUCAAUUGUGCAAAAUUUGGAGGUGCAAAAAAAUAUAUUCUAAUCAAAUGAUAGAGAAGAAAAGGAUAUAAUUUUAAGAUACUUCUGUUUAAUAGGAAUAAAUUUAAAAAUUUAAUGGUGCUUUAAAGUUGAUAUGCAACUUACACGAGAAAGAGUUGCAACAUUUCAACAUGCACGGUUUCUUCUAUUAUAGUUUAUUCGUUAAAGGAAAACGCUUGUUGAAUGUGACAGAUACUAUCAUCUUUAGUACUCUGCAUGAAAAUAUUAGUAGACAUAUCAAGCAUAGAGAAUUGUUUUGAUAUGUUAGGCUAUUAUUAAUGGAAUGGUAUGACUUUUGACCAAAUUUCUUCACAAUAAUGCUGUGAUUAGCAAUUAAUUCAAAUAAGUUGAACCGGUUCAAAAGCAAAGAAAAGAAACUAUAAAAGAAAGGGUUACACUAAAUAUAGGAAAUUAUCAAAUAUAUUGUAGGAUGGUGCAACAAUUAUACCAUACAAACUCAUGUGAAAUCUUAAUGAUAUUAAGGAAAUUAUAAUAUAUUUGUUUAUUGUUUAUUUGAGACUGCGGAAUGAAGGGGGACAAUGUCAUCAUUUUUGUAUUAUUUUGGCUUUAACAAAUAUUUCACGAAUAUUUCAUACUCAAAGAAAACACUUAAAAUUACUUUGUUUUAAUAAAUCACUGCUUAUUGUGUACAUGUAUUUCAUUUGUAAGAUUUCGGUUCAGAUUUAUUCCAGAGUCAGUUGAUAACUAUAAUAGCACAUACAAUUUUAAAUGAAAAUGAAUUUAAAACUUAUGAGCUUAAAAUUAAUCAUGUUUGGUUAGUAGGACACUUGCGAAUCCCACAACUCAUACCCCAAUCUCAUUGUUUGACAGUGGAUCUUGCGAAAGAUCGCAAUAAAUAGGUCGAAAAAUAAUUUACAAGAAAUAUAUAAAAGCAUCCUUCUCAUAAUUAAUCAGCACUAUUUUAUAAACAAAAGAUCUCUACUUGCUUGGAACUGUCAAAUGUGAUAUUAAAAUUCUGUGGUCAAUCAGUUUUUCUUAAUUCUAAUCGAAGUUCGGCAUGGUAAGAGAGCGUUACCUUGAACUAAUCACGAAUAUAUAUAGUUAAACUAAACAAGAACAUUCUCAACUUUUGAAUAUUAUUUACUUACUCACAUAAUGACCAAUACUUGAAAUACUCAAAUCAAAUAGACCUUAAAACUAUUAACAAACACUUACUAUAUUUUUUUAUGAGAGAAAAGGAAAUGAAUCAUAUAAAUAAAUUAAAACUUGUCUUUUUCUUGUUAUAUGGGGUGAAGAUAUAAAGGAUUAUAAUUUGUACCCCGAGGAUUGUUGUGGAAUGAAUAUGUUCUUUCACCCUUAAAUCAGAAGUGUUGAACCCUGGGUAAAUGGAAAAAAUUCUUGGUGCGAAUUUGUCUAGUACGGAUACCAUACAUUGGGUAUAGGAAACAAAAAAAAUAAAGGAGUACAAUUUGUGCAGCUCACAUUGGUCAAAGGCAUAUGCUUAUUAUGCAUGAAUAAAUUGUUACGUUCAAACAACAAAAGAUCUUAUGCAGGUUAAAAUCAUGCAUAAUAAGAGUAUUGGAUCGUAUUAUCACUCAUAUCAUGAUGUCCGUAGAAUACGUGAGUUAUGAUAUUCGGACACAAGUUUUCUGUGAGUGUUCUAUUUUUCUUGUCCUUUUGUUCUACAGAAAAGAACGUGAUUUGCAUUUUAAGUGUUACCAAAUUUUUUACUUUCAUAGUUUUCCGCAUUUAUAUACAUACUUGAUCGAUAGUUCAUUUUAAGUACUUAUAAUAAGUUAAUGCGUGUCUUCCAAGAUCACUGAAGAAUUUGAUUAAUUUGAUUCCUAUGUUGGAAUUUGUACUUACAACAAUGGGUUAUAGCAUAGUGACGUGACUCAAGUGGUAGAUAAAUAAAAGAAAAAUUACAAGUUAUGUUUGUCCAUAAGUAAAUUAGUACAAAAAUUGACCAAUUCGUAAAAUAUUACUAAUAUUAGCCAAAUGCUACCAAUAUUAGUUAUUUGUAGCCAAAAGAAGAUCAAUUUUUUUUGAGUGAGUGUUAUUGGAAUAGAUUGGUACAUCUUAAAGGUUUGAAUCUCAAUUUUGGGAUGAUUUGGUGGAGUUUUGAGGUGGUUUGAAUUGAAAAUUCGAAGUGAAAGAUGAACAUGGAAAAAGAUGAUACGUAUAUCACAGUGUGUACAAUUUGUGUAUCACAUGUAUAUCCAUGUAUACAUGUGUGUGAGAUACAUGCGUGAUACAUGCGUCGCAAAAAAAAUCGAUUUUAACUAUGUAUUUAAAGCCAAACCGGUCCAAAUCAUCUUCAAUCUUGCUCAAAAUUUGUACAUUGCUUCGUCCAUAUGUUUUUAAUGAAUUUCAACCAUACUCAUUGAAAAAAUCUUUUUUUGUCUAAUUUUUUUAAUGUUAUAUAUUCUUGGUAAUGAAUUUUGAUUCCAAACUGGUCUAACUCACCUUCAGAAUUCGUCAAAUUUUGUAUAUGCUACAGACGACUGUCUGAAGUGCAAGGGGUAAACUCGGACUCGGAUAGGAUAGGAUUGUGCGCGCCUAGCCCUUCGGGUCUCAUAUUUUGGCCGAGUUUAUAUUGCCUUAUCUAUAUGUUUUCAACGGAUCGCA